rnacentral:lncRNA from 1 species
GCCUGAAGGGAGGGGUUUGGGCGCGGGAGCCGGGCAGGAGAAGACGGAAGUGGAGCGAGGACAAAAUGGCUGCGAAGAACCGCCUCAGGACGCGGUCGUGUCUGGACCCCUCCGCGGAAAAGAAGGCGAAACCGCUUCUCUGAGCCCUGACCGUUAGGCCCCUUCCCACCUCCGUCUAGAACAGAUUCGGCUUCUUGGCUCAGUCCUUCCCCAACUAGCCCAAGCCCUACAUUUCCCC